rnacentral:misc_RNA from 1 species
AAGUCGUAACAAGGUUUCCGUAGGUGAACCUGUGGAAGGAUCAUUAACACGUAUCCACGUAUAAACCCAAUGUGCUUUUGUUAUGUACCCUGUCAAAGGACUGAGUGAACAGGUAGUCAGAGUGGUGAAGGCGUUUGGUCUUAACGGACCUCUCGCUUAUUUGACUGACUCCUGCUCGGAGGGGAAAUUUAUUUUCUCUCAGCUCUUUCCUUGUUUGUACAGGUUUUUUUGUUCCUCUCACCAUUGGAGCGCUUUUUCACUUAAACCCCUAGUAACUAAAUAUUCUAAUCUUAUGUGAUAGCUGGAAACGGCUAUUAUAUUAAUACGAAACGCUUGACAACUCUUAGCAACGGAUAUCUUGGUUCUC